rnacentral:rRNA from 1 species
AGAGUUUGAUCCUGGCUCAGAGUGAACGCUGGCGGCGUGCUUAACACAUGCAAGUCGAACGAUGAAGCUCUAGCUUGCUAGAGUGGAUUAGUGGCGCACGGGUGAGUAAUGUAUAGCUAAUGUGCCCCUUAGAGGGGGAUAACAGUUGGAAACGACUGCUAAUACCCCAUACUCCUUCUUCCUAUAAGGGAAGUUGGGAAAGUUUUUUCGCUAAGGGAUCGGGCUAUAUGGUAUCAGCUUGUUGGUGAGGUAAUGGCUCACCAAGGCUAUGACGCCUAUCUGGUCUGAGAGGAUGACCAGCCACACUGGGACUGAGACACGGUCCAGACUCCUACGGGAGGCAGCAGUGGGGAAUAUUACACAAUGGAGGAAACUCUGAUGUAGCAACGCCGCGUGGAGGAUGACACAUUUCGGUGCGUAAACUCCUUUUAUAUGGGAAGAUAAUGACGGUACCAUAUGAAUAAGCACCGGCUAACUCCGUGCCAGCAGCCGCGGUAAA